UCCUUCGGGGGUGGUUCAGUGGCGAACGGGUGCGUAACACGUGAGCAAUCUGCCUUGGGGUGGGGGAUAACCCGUGGAAACGCGGGCUAAUACCGCAUGUCGUCACGAUCCCGCAUGGGGAUGUGACGAAAGGGGCUUAACGGCCCUGCCCUGAGAGGAGCUCGCGGCGUAUCAGCUAGCUGGUGGGGUAACGGCCUACCAGGGCAACGACGCGUAGCCGAUCUGAGAGGAUGAUCGGCCACAUUGGGACUGAGAUACGGCCCAGACUCCUACGGGAGGCAGCAGUGGGGAAUCUUGCGCAAUGGGCGAAAGCCUGACGCAGCGACGCCGCGUGGGGGAGGAAGCUCUUCGGAGUGUAAACCCCUGUCAGGAGGGAAGAACGGGCGCGCCAGGAAAUGGGUGCGUUUUGACGGUACCUCCAAAGGAAGCACCGGCUAACUCUGUGCCAGCAGCCGCGGUAAUACAGAGGGUGCGAGCGUUGUUCGGAAUUACUGGGCGUAAAGCGCGCGCAGGCGGUCCUUUAAGUCUACCCGUGAAAUGCCGGAGCUCAACUCCGUGCACGCCGGGGG
rnacentral:rRNA from 1 species